UCGCAGUCAAUUAAGCCGACCGGUUUCCAUUCCCGUGGGAUCCUGGUGUGCAAUGGCUGCGGACAGCAAGUCUUUGGUUGUGUACGCGCCCGGCUGUGGCUCAGUGCCGGGCGUUCAAAGGGACCUCUGAGACAGGU